UACAGAGGUGGCAAGCGUUGUUCGGAAUUACUUGGCGUAAAGAGCGCGCAGGCGGUCGUUCAAGUCGCGUGUGAAAGCCCCCGGCUCAACUGGGGAGGGUCACGCGAUACUGAUCGACUCGAAGGCAGGAGAGGGUAGUGGAAUUCCCGGUGUAGUGGUGAAAUGCGUAGAUAUCGGGAGGAACACCGGUGGCGAAGGCGGCCUUCUGGACGGAUACUGACGCUGAGACGCGAAAGCGUGGGGAGCAAACAGG
rnacentral:rRNA from 1 species